rnacentral:rRNA from 1 species
AAAUUGAAGAGUUUGAUCAUGGCUCAGAUUGAACGCUGGCGGCAGGCCUAACACAUGCAAGUCGAGCGGAAACGAGUUAUCUGAACCUUCGGGGGACGAUAACGGCGUCGAGCGGCGGACGGGUGAGUAAUGCCUAGGAAAUUGCCCUGAUGUGGGGGAUAACCAUUGGAAACGAUGGCUAAUACCGCAUGAUGCCUACGGGCCAAAGAGGGGGACCUUCGGGCCUCUCGCGUCAGGAUAUGCCUAGGUGGGAUUAGCUAGUUGGUGAGGUAAGGGCUCACCAAGGCGACGAUCCCUAGCUGGUCUGAGAGGAUGAUCAGCCACACUGGAACUGAGACACGGUCCAGACUCCUACGGGAGGCAGCAGUGGGGAAUAUUGCACAAUGGGCGCAAGCCUGAUGCAGCCAUGCCGCGUGUAUGAAGAAGGCCUUCGGGUUGUAAAGUACUUUCAGUCGUGAGGAAGGUAGUGUAGUUAAUAGCUGCAUUAUUUGACGUUAGCGACAGAAGAAGCACCGGCUAACUCCGUGCCAGCAGCCGCGGUAAUACGGAGGGUGCGAGCGUUAAUCGGAAUUACUGGGCGUAAAGCGCAUGCAGGUGGUUUGUUAAGUCAGAUGUGAAAGCCCGGGCUCAACCUCGGAAUAGCAUUUGAAACUGGCAGACUAGAGUACUGUAGAGGGGGUAGAAUUUCAGGUGUAGCGGUGAAAUGCGUAGAGAUCUGAAGGAAUACCGGUGGCGAAGGCGGCCCCCUGGACAGAUACUGACACUCAGAUGCGAAAGCGUGGGGAGCAAACAGGAUUAGAUACCCUGGUAGUCCACGCCGUAAACGAUGUCUACUUGGAGGUUGUGGCCUUGAGCCGUGGCUUUCGGAGCUAACGCGUUAAGUAGACCGCCUGGGGAGUACGGUCGCAAGAUUAAAACUCAAAUGAAUUGACGGGGGCCCGCACAAGCGGUGGAGCAUGUGGUUUAAUUCGAUGCAACGCGAAGAACCUUACCUACUCUUGACAUCCAGAGAACUUUCCAGAGAUGGAUUGGUGCCUUCGGGAACUCUGAGACAGGUGCUGCAUGGCUGUCGUCAGCUCGUGUUGUGAAAUGUUGGGUUAAGUCCCGCAACGAGCGCAACCCUUAUCCUUGUUUGCCAGCGAGUAAUGUCGGGAACUCCAGGGAGACUGCCGGUGAUAAACCGGAGGAAGGUGGGGACGACGUCAAGUCAUCAUGGCCCUUACGAGUAGGGCUACACACGUGCUACAAUGGCGCAUACAGAGGGCGGCCAACUUGCGAAAGUGAGCGAAUCCCAAAAAGUGCGUCGUAGUCCGGAUUGGAGUCUGCAACUCGACUCCAUGAAGUCGGAAUCGCUAGUAAUCGUGGAUCAGAAUGCCACGGUGAAUACGUUCCCGGGCCUUGUACACACCGCCCGUCACACCAUGGGAGUGGGCUGCAAAAGAAGUAGGUAGUUUAACCUUCGGGAGGACGCUUACCACUUUGUGGUUCAUGACUGGGGUGAAGUCGUAACAAGGUAGCGCUAGGGGAACCUGGCGCUGGAUCACCUCCUUA